UAAUACAGAGGGGGCAAGCGUUAUUCGGAAUUAUUGGGCGUAAAGGGCGCGUAGGCGGCUUGAUAAGUCAAAGGUGAAAUCCCUCGGCUCAACCGAGGACCUGCCUUUGAUACUGUCUCGCUUGAGGCCGGGAGAGGGUAGCGGAAUUCCCAGUGUAGCGGUGAAAUGCGUAGAUAUUGGGAGGAACACCAGUGGCGAAGGCGGCUACCUGGACCGGUUCUGACGCUGAGGCGCGAAAGCGUGGGGAGCAAACAGGAUUAGAUACCCUGGUAGUCCACGCUGUAAACGAUGGGUACUCGGUGCUGCGGGUAUCGACCCCUGCGGUGCCUUAGCUAACGCGUUAAGUACCCCGCCUGGGGAGUACGGUCGCAAGGCUG
rnacentral:rRNA from 1 species